UACGGAGGGUGCAAGCGUUGCUCGGAAUCACUGGGCGUAAAGCGACCGCAGGCGGCCUGACAAGUCGGAUGUGAAAGCCCUGGGCUCAACUCAGGAAUUGCAUUCGAAACUGGCAGGCUCGAGUACGGGAGAGGGGGGUGGAAUUCCUGGUGUAGGGGUGAAAUUCGUUGAUAUCAGGAGGAACACCGGCGGCGAAGGCGGGUCUCUGGGCCGAUACUGACGCUGAGGAGCGAAAGCGUGGGGAGCGAACAGG
rnacentral:rRNA from 1 species